CUUUUAAUUAAAGGCUAGUAUGAAUGAUUUGACGAAAGAAAAUCUGUCUUAGCUUAUUAAAAAAAAUUAACCUAGAAGUUAAAAGGCUUCUAUAUCCUAAAGGGACGACAAGACCCUAUAAAGCUUUAUUUAUAAUAUUUUUAUUUACUUCAAUAAAAAAUAUAAAUUUAUAAAUUCUAUUGGGGCGAUAGAUAAAUAAACAUUAUUAACUAUAACGUUUUUAACGAAAUUUAUAAAAUGUUUUUAAAACCUACAACAAGUUACUUUAGGGAUAACAGCAUAAUUUCUUUUUAGAGUCCUUA
rnacentral:rRNA from 1 species